CACGGUGGCAGAGGGAGUGCAGGAUGAGCUCCUCGUCCGUCGGGUGGAACCGGAACUCCGGCGGCAGCGACGUUGCCGCCCCCUGCCCCUGCCCCUGCCUCUGCUGCGCCAUCGACAUGAUCGAUCGACCACACGACCGAGCGCACUGCACACACGACCAAAAGAGCAAACCAGAAUCUAUCUCGGGGAUCGAGUGGAUGGACUAGAUGGCGUGUGCUUAUAUGGCCGGCGGUAGGACCCUGUGGUUGCCGGGGUUCUCUAGGGGUAGAAGCGGCAGCUGCAUGUACAUGUACAGGGAGAGGUAUGCGUUGGGUGCAAGGGAGGUAUGCUGAUCUGGUUCGGUAUCUUUGGGAGAAAAGAAGAUUCAACCAGGGGGACAACUUGCUUGUUACAUCUUUUGUCUAGCUUUUUUGUAAGCAGAUACAUGUUCUUGUAAUGGAGCUGGGAUGGUGCUUUUGUAUGUACCUAUGAUGUUUUUGGUCCUUGUUUAUAACAAUUCACAACAUGGCUCACUGGAGUGGAGAAAGAAGAGAUCACAGGAUGGAUGGGAGUAGGACCGUAAGGAGUACUGCUUGGUGAUCAGUGGUGGGGGCACAUUUUUUAGGGAGACCCAGUUCAUGGUUUUCGGCCGAGAAAUAGACUGGCUUUGGUGAGCUGUCCCUCCCGCGCUCGAGGGGAUGAAAGGCGCGGUACGCAGCAGGACCGCCGCAUGGGAAGUCCCCGGUGCGGUGCCGCUGCCUAGUGGCGCCCAA
rnacentral:lncRNA from 1 species